GUCCAGGGGGGUUUGGGGGGCGGCGUGGAAGGAGGAGGCUCAGGGGAGCCACCCCACUGCAAAGCCUGGAGGAGGGGGCUGCUCCCUCUGGCGCCCCCCUUCCCCCUCUCCUCCCUGCACAAGAGUGAUUGGAGUGCCGGUCACUUACCUCUGAAGGAUUCGGCCUUUUUGUACAGCUGCGUGUUCAAGGAUUCAAGAAACUCCUAAAAAGAAAGAACAGACGACACUCCAGGGCACAGCGGAGCUACAAAUCUGUUCAUCUUUACAGGACUGGCUGGACUGAAAGCAGACCCAAACUGGUGCAAUCUGUGCAGAUAAAGAAGCGAGAUGGAAGAGCAGAGUCCAGCAGGACCUGAACUUUGCAAGAGAGGAAGGGAAGACCCCCAUCCCAUCCAAGCUGGGGGUGGUGUUGCAUUCUGGGAGGGAGCCGUGCCAGAGAUUCGGGGUCAGGAGCCCCUGAACUCAGAAAUAUUUUGUCGACGCUUCUGGCAGUUCUGCUACCGUGAGGCCGAUGGACCCCGAGAGGUUUGCAGCCAGCUCCAUGGACUUUGCAACCACUGGCUGAAGCCAGAGAGGCACUCCAGGAAGCAGAUCUUGGACCUGGUGAUCCUGGAGCAGUUCCUGACCGUCC